rnacentral:lncRNA from 1 species
CUCUUAGAGGAGCUGAUUAUACAGUUCAAGUAUGAAGCCAUGGUGAGCUACCCUAUUAAGUUCAGCUUCAUAGAUGAAAUAGGUGCAGAUGCUGAUGGUGUGUCGAGAGACGUAUAUGCAGCAUUCUGGGCAGAAUUUUUAGACUGCGCCGCAGAGGGAGCUGAUGUUAGGGUUCCCUCCCUAUCUCCAAAAUGGCAACAAGAAGAAUGGAGGUCUGUAGGUAGAAUAUUGGCCAAGGGACUAAAAGACCAUGGGUAUUUUCCAGCUCGUCUGGCUCAAGCAUUUGUGGCAGCCGUUAUCUUUGGUGAACAUUCUGUAUCUCCUGAACUUUUGUUUGAUUCUCUCAUGUUGUACCUAAGUCAAUCUGAGCGUGAUCUCCUGGCUAUUGCUUUAAAAGAGACUGUGACCGGUGAUGAUGAGGAGGAGUUCCUUGACCUCAUGGACCGCAUGGGAGUGCACACAAAUGUUACACAAGCAAAUCUGAAGCCUAUCCUACUCCAAGUUGCACACAAGCAAAUUAUUCAGCAGCCAAAAUAUGCACUGGAUAAUAUUGCAGCAGUUGCAGGACCAACUCUCAGGGAGUUUUUUCCAAGUAUGCUGGAACUGCAGAAAAUGUUUGAUGAUCUGAAACCAACAACACGCAAGGUGAUAAAGUUACUUGAUGCCUCUCCAUCUAAUGCAGCUGAAGCCCAGAGUUUGCGAUUCUUGCAUCAGUACAUAAGGGGAUUGGAUAAAAUUGGCCUCCGGAAGAUGUUAAGGUUUGUGACAGGCUCUGAUGUAAUCUGCGUUAAAAAGAUCGAGAUAAUAUUCACAAAUCUGGAAGGAUUUUCAAGACGACUCAUUGCACAUACCUGUGGCCCAAGUUUGGAGCUUCCUUCAACUUACAACAGCUAUCCUGAGUUACGAGCCGAAAUUGAAGGAAUAUUGUCUUCCAACUAUUAUUCAAUGGACAUUGCUUAGAUUUUGUGGUAAUUCAUACUGUCCUAACAUAUCUGAUCAUUCAGUAUCUUCUAUAGGCUGUUUUUGUUGUAGAUUGCCUUUAGCCUAAUUGCCUUUAGGCAGUAUGAAUGCAAGAUUCACAUGAAAAUAUGUUUUCAUAUAGAUAUUGCAAAAAAUGACAUGUCUUUGUUAGUUAUUCAGAAUUAAGUGAUUACUAUGUGUGUUGGUAUUGACUGUCAAACUUGUUAUUGUUAUAAUACAGAAGGCAUGUUCAUAGCUGUUAGCAUACUGUUGACUUUUUUUCAAUGGAAUAUGAAAACCAUU